UAUUUGAGCCCCUCCUCUGGGCUUGCAAGUAGAGGCUGGGCCCUGUCCCACUCUGGAGCCACAAACACAGGAGGAGCUGACAGCCGGUGUCCAGUAAAGAACUGUACAUUGUUGUUGUUCCUGAAUCUGCAAAAAACCCAACAACCCUACAUAAAUACAUUACAAUGAUUUGGACAGAGCACACACUUCCAAAUGAAGUCAACAGAAGCUAUGGGAGCUCAAUGUCUGAAAAUCAGACCCCAUUGAAGUCAAUGAGACCA